UAUUAUUAUUAUUAUUAUUAUUAUUAUUAUUUAUACACAAAAAUGGUAUUGGAAAUUUGUCAUAUAGUAACAACUUUUUCAGAGUAUCCACUAACCUUACUACUCCACUAUCUCCAUAGCUUUUUUUCUAUCAUCAUCGUGGACUGUACGAAUUCUCGCUGAUCAUAUUAUUUAUAUUUAUAUUACUUUUUUUCUCAUUCUUCAUCAGUUAUACGAGUUUUCAUUGAUCAUAUUAUCUGUCUUCAAAUUCAUAUUGCUUAGUUAUACGAGUUCUAAACUGAUCAUAUUAUCUAUCUCCAUAUUGUCUUUUUUCUCGUCCUUCAUCAGUUAUAUGAGUUUUCAUUAAUCAUAUUAUUUAUCUUCAUAUUGUUUGGUUAUACGAGUUCUAAACUAAUCAUAUUAUCUAUCAAUCUCCAUAUUGCUCAGUUACGAGUUCUCAACUGAUCAUAUUAUCUAUCUCUAUAUUGCUUUCUUCCUCGUCCUUCAUCGACUAUAUAUACGAAUUUUCACUGAUCAUAUUAUUUAUCUCCAUAUUGCUUUCUUUCUUGUCCUUCGUCGAUUAUACGAGUUUUCACUAAUCAUAUUAUUUAUCUCCAUAUUGCUUCCUUCCUAUCUCGUCCUUCAUCGGUUAUACGAGUUCUCACUGAUCAUAUUAUCUAUCUCCAUAUUGCUCGGUUACGAGUUCUCAACUGAUCAUAUUAUCGAUCUAUAUCUAUAUUACUUUUUGCCUCGUCUUUCAUCGACUAUACGAGUUCUCACUAAUCAUAUUAUCUAUCUCCAUAUUGCUUUCUUCCUCGUCCUUCAUCGACUAUAUAAAUUCUCACUGCUCAUAUUAUCUAUCUACUUUAUUUGAGCUUAUUUCAAACUGUAUGCCGAUAUAACAUAUUCAAAAAAUUUCUUUAAUAUAUAGUUCGAGUCGAAAGCAAUAAGUAUGGUCACAUCUACUGUUGAAAAGUUGUACUUGUCUAUGUGAAUGCCAGUGUAAUCAAAAUUAUCAACUGCAACGCACAAUAUCGAAAAAGGUUAUAUUGUAAAUUAAAAAAACUCUUACACACACACACACACACAUAUAUAUAUAUAUAUAUAAUUAGCUCAAUUGGAAAUGAUUAAUGAUUUUAUGCAUGUAGAUAAUGUAUGAUUAAUAAUACUUAAACACUAAUCAUUGACUAAUUAUUAUGGACAGGUCCUCAUGCAGAUAAUAGUUUCAUUUUUUGAAUUCCAUUUAUAUUAUUAUUACUCCAUUAUUUUUGACACGACUUUUUUAUUACUGCAUUUUCUUUUCACAGUGAUUUUGAUAUGCAUUUUUAGAGCCGAUUAUCUAUCAGAAACAAUCACCCUAUCCCACAAAGAAGGACUGUAUUUUAUGGACAAUAUAAAUGUAGUGGACCAGGUGCAAAUUUUGCAGGAAGAGUUUCAUGGUGUAGAGAAUUAACUGAACAAGAAGCUAAGCCUUUUAUUUCACUUAAUUUUAUUGAUGGCUCUGAAUGGAUUAAUUUUUAAUUAAAAAAUAAAUAAUUUUUUAUUGUUUUUUUGGUUUAUUUUGUAAAAUUCAUGUAUUUUGUAGUAGUUUAAAGAGGCAUAGAGUAGAAAAAUCUUGGUGAAAAUUAUGAUAAUUUAAAGGUGAGAUUUCUUUUUUGAUUAAUGGUAAUAACAACAGCAUAUUCAGUGUAUUCUCA